UGGGAGCAAGGUGGAGAUUUUUUGCUGAAGAGUGUGAGAAUUAACUUAAGCAUUUCUGGCCAUCUCCAUGAUGCUGUAAUCCUUGAGUCCCUCUAGCUACUUACAAAUUGUAUUUUGGAAUGGAGCCUGAAAACUGAGGGAUCUUCCACAUUCAGAAACAAAGCAAUGGUUGAAAAAGUGGAACUGACAACAACUAUGAAGCAUAAAUUUCCAUAUCUUCCUUCUUUGACAUGCCUUGAGAGUUCUAAGAUACUUCAAGAGAUACUGUAUGUGGCAAACAGAAGUCUAAGCUACCUGCUAUUUGUUGCUAGUGCCGAUAACUCCAUCUUCUGACUGAAGUCCAGCAUUAUUUGCCUGUGUGUACACAGUGGGAGAAGAUGCCCAACUGUGAUCCAAGCGUGAAUGAAACAGAGCUUGCACAGUUCAAAGCCGACACAGUCUCAAAUUCUUG
rnacentral:lncRNA from 1 species